UGUAGCAUUGCAGAUCUGAGUUUUUAGCCACAUUCAAGAACGGUACAAACAACAUUCUUGCGUCAAUAAGAAGGAUGAAGCUUCGGUGUAUUGAAAUCAGGAAACAAGCACGGCUAGGGAAGAUAACAAGCCCGGAUAUGAUAGGUUUGCUUUGGUAUAGUUGCAAUCGGUGGAUGAAGACUAGAUGGAAGUUGUUUUGGCUUGCUAGGGUUCUGUCAUGAACCCAGGCAGUGCUGACGCCUUAGAAGAGCCGGUUGAUGAUUAGGGGUUGAUUCCAGGUUAUGUUGCAGUUGGGCGGUAUACAUAAAAAAAACAACUUUCAUACAUGAUAAAACAAGGGGAAGGUUUAUCGUAUGCUAAAAACGAGCCAAGCCCAAGCCUAAAAAAUUGUUUAUUCAAUGAGCCCCGGCUUUCCAGAUUUGUCAAUUUUCAACAAAUCCGACUACGAUGUUGGUGGCUAAGAUUCCAUAAAGGGCUUUCCAGAUUUGUCAAGUUUCAACCU